AGCAUAUCAAUAAGCGGAGGAAAAGAAACUAACAAGGAUUCCCCUAGUAACUGCGAGUGAAGCGGGAAAAGCUCAAAUUUGAAAUCUGGCAGUUCUUGACUGUCCGAGUUGUAAUCUAGAGAAGUGUUACCUGUGCUGGACCGUGUACAAGUCUCCUGGAAUGGAGCAUCAUAGAGGGUGAGAAUCCCGUCUUUGACAUGGACUACCUGUACAUUAUGGUGCGCUCUCAAAGAGUCGAGUUGUUUGGGAAUGCAGCUCAAAAUGGGUGGUAAAUGCCAUCUAAAGCUAAAUAUUGGCGAGAGACCGAUAGCGAACAAGUACCGUGAGGGAAAGAUGAAAAGAACUUUGGAAAGAGAGUUAAACAGUACGUGAAAUUGCUGAAAGGGAAACGCUUGAAGUCAGUCGCGUCGGCUAGAAAUCAGCCUUGCUCUUGCUUGGUGUACUUUCUGGUUUGACGGGUCAGCAUCAAUUUUGACCAUUGGAUAAAGUCUGUUGGGAAUGUGGCAUCUUAGGAUGUGUUAUAGCCCAUCGUCGCAUACAGUGGUUGGGAUUGAGGAACUCAGCACGCCGCAAGGCCGGGUUUCGACCACGUUCGUGCUUAGGAUGCUGGCAUAAUGGCUUUAAUCGACCCGUCUUGAAACACGGACCAAGGAGUCUAACAUGCCUGCGAGUGUUUGGGUGGAAAACCCAUGCGCGUAAUGAAAGUGAAAGUUGAGAUCCCCCUCAGAAAGGGAGCAUUGACGCCCGGACCAGACCUUCUGUGACGGAUCCGCGGUAGAGCAUGCAUGUUGGGACCCGAAAGAUGGUGAACUAUGCCUGAAUAGGGUGAAGCCAGAGGAAACUCUGGUGGAGGCUCGUAGCGAUUCUGACGUGCAAAUCGAUCGUCAAAUUUGGGUAUAGGGGCGAAAGACUAAUCGAACCAUCUAGUAGCUGGUUC
rnacentral:rRNA from 1 species